rnacentral:lncRNA from 1 species
UUGGCUAUCUGAAAUGGAGCUGGGUGUGUGACAUGAUGAAGGAAUUUCUGGAUAUUGUUCUGGCUCGGGUUUGGUCCUGGCAAUGGGAGCCUUAAUAGAACCACAUGGAUGGUAGCAACAACCCGUUCAACUCUCUAAGGCAAGUCAUUUAACUUUGACCUAAGUUUCAUAUUAGCAAUGGGGAAAGAAAGAGGGAAGAUGGUGAACCUAUAACCUCCAUUGGCUUAGCAUUAACGGGGUAGGCUUGAAAUAUGCGUUAAACAGGUUUGGUUAGUUGUGUUGUCCACCGGUAACUUUUAGUUCUUUUUCUCUGAAUAUAUAGUUAUUUAAAUUUAUUAAGUGAGUGGAAACUUUAAUAUUAACAAAUAUUUUAUGUUUUCAGUAAUAUUAACAUAUUGUAAGGAAUUUAAAAGCACAUUAUAAGAAAUUUUAAUACUUUGUGGGUUACCUUUCAGCAAACCAUAUAUUAGUUAAUUUUUUAAAUAGGGCAAAUGACAUAGAACAGCAACAUACUUUCGUUAUUUGCUAUUUAGUUACACUCCGGUGUGGUACUAGAAAUUAGAGGCUGCAAAAUGGUCGAAACAGGCUAGGUUGGGUAACGGGUCAAAAGGUAAUUUUCUGUUAUUGGUCGAAACAGGUCAAGUCAGAUUGAUCUGUAAUUUUAUAGUUUACUAUAAAUGCAUAGCGUGUAAUGUAAUGUAACUACUAGGUAAGUAUUCUAUUAUUUUAACAAUAAAAUUAAUUACAUGAACUAAACUAUUCUUGUGGUUUUGUGGAUUAACAUACACUUUGGGUGACUUUCGAGUCAUUUUAUUUUUAGCUAAUAUUUUUGUUUUAUCUAUUCAAUCUAUUAAAGAUAAAACUUUACUCAAAUUGACCCAUUUCAAAGUAAACUGUUUGAAGUUGCCACCUUUACCAGAAUUUGACGAAGCUAGAUUUUUGGUUUAUAUUAUAUCAUAGGUAUCAGUUAAAGAUAAUUCUUCACCCGGAAGGGCGUAACUGGUGGGUUGUUGAUUCAAGAAGGGAGAUUGUGGGGCUUACAUAGAAUUUGGUGAGUCGGAUACGGUGGGAGCGAUUCGUAAAAUAUGAUAUACGGUGGGAGCGGUUUGUAAAAUAUAAUAGAUGGUUGGAGUGGUUCGUAUUUAGUUUAGAUUGUGAUGUGGCGUUUAGAUUCUGAUGCAACUUUGUUUGGAUUGGUUUUAUGUUGCUAUUUGUAUUAUUAAUGAAUCGAUGCCUUCCUAUGAAACGUUGUGAUGUUGCAUUAAAGGCAAUCUAAGUUACUUUUUGUAUUAUAUUUAGUAAUGUGUUUGGUUUCAUGAAUACACUGAUAACUUCACCUGCAGAAAGUUCAAGAAAUUGAAGAAUUUAUCAUGUAGAAAGUUCGAGUUUUUGAAGAAUGUCUCAAGAAUCUGUGGGACCCGCCGACCUUAGCACUCGAAACACAUGACAUGGUGGAUCAAUACUUUUCUCCACUCGAGCCUGAACGAUGCCACAAGAGGCGUUUACAUAACCAAUGAUUCAUAUAUAAAACUGAUUAUUUAUUUCGAAACCUCAUAAUUUUUCCCAACAAAAGUUCUAAUCAUCUGAACAAUCUAUGCAAAUGUUCUCUACAUGUAUUUUUUUUCGAAAAUUCAUUGACUAAAUAAAAUCUAGCAUUCGUUUUGG